GGUGCGGUACCCAAGUGGCUAAGGGGACAGUCUGCAAAACUGUUAUGCGGCGGUUCAAAUCCGCCCCGCACCU
rnacentral:tRNA from 1 species